rnacentral:rRNA from 1 species
UACGUAGGGGGCAAGCGUUGUCCGGAAUCACUGGGCGUAAAGCGCGCGCAGGCGGUCAUCUACGUCUGGGGUGAAAGCCCGGAGCUCAACUCCGGGAUUGCCUUGGAUACGGGAUGACUUGAGGAUCGGAGAGGCAAGGGGAAUUCCACGUGUAGCGGUGAAAUGCGUAGAGAUGUGGAGGAACACCUGUGGCGAAAGCGCCUUGCUGGCCGAUUUCUGACGCUGAGGCGCGAAAGCCAGGGGAGCGAAUGGG